AUGGAGGAUGGCCAAGUUCUUCUUUAUUCAAAUUCUGUAAAUGCACGGGAAACAAAAAUACCAUAUCCGUGGUUGGUGUUCAACGAGAAGAUAAAAGUGAACUCUGUUUUCUUGAGGGAUUCGACAGCUGUCUCUGACUCUACUCUUAUCCUCUUUGGCGGUAGCAUCUCCAAAGGAGACAUUGAUGGCCACCUGAAAAUGUUGGGAGGAUACUUGGAGUUUUUCAUGAAACCUGCUGUUGCAGAGAUAUGCCAAACCUUGAAGAAAGAGCUUGACGAGCUGAUACAGAACAAACUACUUAAUCCUAAAAUGGACGUGCAAGCACACCGUGAACUCUUAUCAGCUAUACGGUUGUUAGUCUCUGGGGAUGGAUGUGAUGGGAGAUUUGUGUUUGGUCGCCAAAUACGUAGGCCUUUAGAAACAUCGGCUUUGUCAACAAAACCG